AGGACGAACGCUGGCGGCGUGCCUAACACAUGCAAGUCGAACGGACGAGGGGAGCUUGCUCCCCAAGUUAGUGGCGGACGGGUGAGUAACACGUGAGCAACCUGCCCUUCGGAGGGGGACAACAGUUGGAAACGACUGCUAAUACCGCAUAAUGUAUUCUGGAGGCAUCUCCGGGAUACCAAAGAUUUCAUCGCCGAAGGAUGGGCUCGCGUCUGAUUAGAUAGUUGGCGGGGUAACGGCCCACCAAGUCUGCGAUCAGUAGCCGGACUGAGAGGUUGAACGGCCACAUUGGGACUGAGAUACGGCCCAGACUCCUACGGGAGGCAGCAGUGGGGAAUAUUGGGCAAUGGGGGGCAACCCUGACCCAGCAACGCCGCGUGGAGGAAGAAGGCUUUCGGGUUGUAAACUCCUUUGACGAGGGACGAUCAUGACGGUACCUCGAAAACAAGCCACGGCUAACUACGUGCCAGCCGCGGC
rnacentral:rRNA from 1 species